rfam:Dictyocaulus viviparus strain HannoverDv2000 D_viviparus-1.0_Cont373.12, whole genome shotgun sequence.
GCCUCGGUAGUGUAAUGGAUCGGCACUGCAGACCGGAUAUCUGUAAGCGCCGGUUCGAGUCCCGCCUUAGGUU